rnacentral:rRNA from 1 species
GACAGAGGGUGCUAGCGUUGUUCGGAAUUACUGGGCGUAAAGGGCGCGUAGGCGGCUCGUUUAGUCGGGUGUGAAAUCCCAAGGCUCAACCUUGGAACUGCAUUCGAUACUGGCGGGCUAGAGACCGGAAGAGGUGGGUGGAAUUCCCAGUGUAGAGGUGAAAUUCGUAGGUAUUGGGUGGAACACCGGUGGCGAAGGCGGCUCACUGGUCCGGUUCUGACGCUGAGGCGCGAAAGCGUGGGGAGCAAACAGG